GACGAACCGUGCGAACGUUGUUCGGAUUCACUAGGCUUAAAGGGCGCGUAGGCGGGCCAUCAAGUCAGGGGUGAAAUCUUUCGGCUCAACCGGAAAAGUGCCUUUGAUACUGGUGGUCUCGAGGGAGGUAGGGGCAUGCGGAACUUCCGGUGGAGCGGUGAAAUGCGUAGAUAUCGGAAGGAACGCCGGUGGCGAAAGCGGCGUGCUGGACCUCUUCUGACGCUGAGGCGCGAAAGCUAGGGGAGCAAACGGG
rnacentral:rRNA from 1 species